rnacentral:tRNA from 1 species
GCCUGGGUGGCUCAGUCGGUUAAGUGUCUGACUUCGGCUCAGGUCAUGAUCUCGCAGUUUGUGGGUUCGAGCCCCGCGUCGGGCU